UACGGAGGGUGCAAGCGUUAUCCGGAUUCACUGGGGUUAAAGGGUGCGUAGGAGGGUUGGUAAGUCAGUGUUGAAAUCUCCGAGCUUAACUUGGAAACUGCCGUUGAUACUAUCAAUCUUGAAUAUCGUGGAGGUGAGCGGAAUAUGUCAUGUAGCGGUGAAAUGCUUAGAUAUGACAUAGAACACCAAUUGCGAAGGCAGCUGGCUACACAUAUAUUGACACUGAGGCACGAAAGCGUGGGGAUCAAACAGG
rnacentral:rRNA from 1 species